CCGACAUUUUGUAUUUUAGGUUUCGGUGUUAAUGUUUUCUACAAGCGAAAAAGAAAAUUAAUAAAAUGUAGACCAUAGCUAAAUUUAAAUGUAUCCAUUGCACUGCAUCCCGGUUAAUUCUUGCGAAGUAGUUUCCGGGACAAAAUUCUGGUGCUUCGGUUACCUACUCGUCUAAUACCACCUACAGGUAUGUCCCGGAACCAAAAGCCUUAUGCCCCGGCGAACAAGUACUCAAACAGUCAACUGAAGCCACUUCCUCCAAUACCGAAAUCUACCAAUUCCAGUACGAACGGGAAGAAAUAGAAAAAUCAAAUGGUGAUUUUGCGGAACGGGAACCAGACAAUCGUGGAGCUAUUGGAUGCUGCCGCAAAAAGUAAAGCAAUGGUUUCAUGAAAUAUGAUGGAAAAGAAAUCCUUAUCUGAUACAAGUUCUCCCCGGAUUUGGUCCGCCAGGCGCUGCUGAAUCAAUUGAAAGUAUCCCAGUUCACAGCAUUGCUAAUGUUGUUUAAAUCGGUGGUAAGCGAAUAAACGGAACACACGGUCCCGAUGGACCCAUUUAAUUCUACAACAUUGUAUAACCAAGCAAAGGGCCUGAAAUCCCCGGAUUAAAAUUUAUUGUCGUUGUGCCCCCGGAAAGACCUAUUAAGGACCGAAACAUUCACACUAAGGAAUUCCAAACAGUGGAACCACCAGAGUUGAAGGCAAAAGUGAAACGAGCAGCUGGUGCUAAACCAGUUGUUUGUAACGAAAACCGUUGCCAAGGUUGGUGCGAUAAAAAUGUUUAUUCCUCCCGUUGUACCACCUACACGGGCCACCGCUGGUAAUUCGCGUACGUCUGUAUCUGGUUGUAGAGGAAUCGGUUGUAGAGUUUAAUCGGUAGUUUAAGGAUAAAAAAGCUGUUAUGUAUUAUUGAUAUGAUGAACUCUUUCUAACAUGGAUCUUUGGAAAGCCGCGGAUCGUAAAGUUAUCUAUUAACGUAACACGCAAAACCGAUGAAUAAUUGAAAAAAUCUUCUCAAAGAUAAAAUUGCUGAUAUUGCUUUUUUUUUAAUAUAUUUUCGAUAUACUUAAAAUAAUGAUAAGACCAAAAUCGUAUAAAUUGAUCGAAAGUUUACAAAAUUAAAAAUUAUUAUGACAAUACCAAAAAUUUGGUGAAUAAUGUAAAGUGUAAAAUAAUAUCAUGUUUUGAAAUUUGUGAACUCAAUUAAUCGCAUAUCGUUU